rnacentral:rRNA from 1 species
AAUGAAUCAAAACUUUCAACAACGGAUCUCUUGGUUCUGGCAUCGAUGAAGAACGCAGCGAAAUGCGAUAAGUAAUGUGAAUUGCAGAAUUCAGUGAAUCAUCGAAUCUUUGAACGCACAUUGCGCCCGCCAGUAUUCUGGCGGGCAUGCCUGUUC